rnacentral:rRNA from 1 species
AUUGCCCUAGUAACGGCGAGUGAAGCGGCAACAGCUCAAAUUUGAAAUCUGGCCUUCUCUGAGGGUCCGAGUUGUAAUUUGCAGAGGGUGCUUUGGUGUUGUCGGCGGUCUAAGUUCCUUGGAACAGGACAUCACAGAGGGUGAGAAUCCCGUUUGUGGUCGCCAGCCUUCGCCGUGUAAAGCCCCUUCGACGAGUCGAGUUGUUUGGGAAUGCAGCUCUAAAUGGGAGGUAAAUUUCUUCUAAAGCUAAAUACCGGCCAGAGACCGAUAGCGCACAAGUAGAGUGAUCGAAAGAUGAAAAGCACUUUGGAAAGAGAGUCAAAAAGCACGUGAAAUUGUUGAAAGGGAAGCGCUUGCAGCCAGACUUGCCCGUAGUUGCUCACCCGGACUCUUGUCCGGGGCACUCUUCUGCGGGCAGGCCAGCGUCAGUUUGGGCGGUUGGAUAAAGGCCUCUGUCACGUAUCUCCCUUCGGGGUGACCUUAUAGGGGAGGCGUAAUGCAGCCAGCCCGGACUGAGGUCCGCGCUUUUGCUAGGACGCUGGCGUAAUGGCCGUAAGCGGCCCGUCUUGAAACACGGACCAAGGAGUCUAACAUCUAUGCGAGUGUUUGGGUGUCAAGCCCGGACGCGCAAUGAAAGUGAACGGAGGUGGGAACCCUCUGGGUGCACCAUCGACCGAUCCUGAAGUCUUCGGAUGGAUUUGAGUAAGAGCAUAGCUGUUGGGACCCGAAAGAUGGUGAACUAUGCUUGAAUAGGGUGAAGCCAGAGGAAACUCUGGUGGAGGCUCGCAGCGGUUCUGACGUGCAAAUUGAUCGUCUGGAUUUGGGCAUA